CACCAUCAAGUUUGGUGUUUAUGACGUCGAAUAUCGACGUCAUAAACACCAUCAAGUUUGGUGUUUAUGACGUCGAUAUUCGACGUCAUAAACACCAUCAAGU